GUGAUAGCUCAAUGGGUAGAACGUAUGACUCUUAAUCUCAGGGUCGUGGGUUCAACCCCUACACUGGGGAGAAACU